rnacentral:rRNA from 1 species
AUUGAACGCUGGCGGCAGGCUUAACACAUGCAAGUCGAGCGCGCGGGGGAAGGGUGAGUAAUGUCUGGGAAACUGCCUGAUGGAGGGGGAUAACUACUGGAAACGGUAACCACUACCGCAUACCCUAAGCUGUGCCCGGAUGGGAUUAGUUAGUAGGUGGGGGAAUGGCUCACCAAGGCGACGAUCCCUAGCUGGUCUGAGAGGAUGACCAGCCACACUGGAACUGAGACACGGUCCAGACUCCUACGGGAGGCAGCAGUGGGGAAUAGUGCACAAUGGGCGCAAGCCUGAUGCAGCCAUGCCGCGUGUGUGAAGAAGGCCUUCGGGUUGUAAAGCACUUUCAGCGAGGAGGCGUUACUCGCAGAAGAAGCACCGGCUAACUCCGUGCCAGCAGCCGCGGUAAUAC